UCCUACGGGAGGCAGCAGUGGGGAAUAUUGCACAAUGGGCGCAAGCCUGAUGCAGCCAUGCCACGUGUAUGAAGAAGGCCUUCGGGUUGUAAAGUACUUUCAGCGGGAAGGAAGGCGAUGGGGGUUAAUAACCUUAUCGAUUGACGUUACCCGCAGAAGAAGCACCGGCUAACUACGUGCCAGCAGCCGCGGUAAUA
rnacentral:rRNA from 1 species